UUGGCAGAUAAAGGAGCUAUUAUUUAGCGUAAUUUACGAUCAUCAGUUAAUUGUUGACGAGAAAAAGCAGAAGAGAAGAGAGAGAAAAAUAAAGAUAUUCAAUGAAGAAAUAUGAUUAUUAAAUAAAUUGUCAUGAUUCUAAUGGAUAAUCUAAGUGUAUAUGAAAAGAGUAAUUGGGAUCAACAUCAACUAUCAAAAACCAUCAUUAGUUUUACCAUGAUGAUGAUGAUGAUGAUGAUUAUCAUCAGAUUUAUGGAUCUCCAGAGGAAUUAGGAAGACAACUGAUUUCCUGGAAAAAUAUAAUUGACAAAGAAACAACAAUCAACCAAAGGAGAGCGAAGAUCCCAAAGCUAAUAUCUAUUUGAAUGGAAUUACAUAAAAUGCAAAUCAUUUCAUCAACACGAACUUUUUGUUUUAACUAAAUCACACUGACAACAGCUAAUAUAUCAUCAUCAUCAAUUUAUCAUCUUUACUCCUCUCAAUCUCUCUCUAUCUCUGUCUCUCUCUCUGUCUCUCUCUCUCUCGCUCACUCUCUGUGUAAUAUAAUCUAUUAUUUUAAUGUACGUUAGGUUUAACAAAGUGAUUAAUUUAACCUUACGUUUUGUUUCCCAAUAAUCAGCAUAAUAAGUGAUCAGUGAAAAGUGAUCCUCUAAUCCAUUGAGAAGAGAACAUUUUUCAUUUUCAAACAUCACUUGUCAUCAUUUUCUCCCUCUCUCUCUCACUUAUCCAUCCUCAUCCUCAUCUCCAUCAUUCUCAAUUGUUUCUUGAUACAAACCCAACCUGGAUACUAACACGAUCUCCACUGUGUAUUUGAUGUAUGCUUUUCUUUUGUCAGGUAACUGAUACAGGACACAGAGAGAGAGAAAUAUUCUUAGUCAAUAUUUUGACUCUCUCCCUCUCUCACUUACUCACUCUAUUGUCUUUGAAUUAUAUUUAUGUUGAUAAUAAUAGUAACAUAAAUAUAUUAUAUAAACAAGUGAAACUUGAUCGAUCAUAAUCAAUAAUAUGAGAAUGAAAAACUGUGUCAAUAUUGUUGAAAAUGUAAUAUCAAGGUAUUUACAGUUACCAUUGAUAUAAGAAAGAGAUAUAAAACAAUAUGAAAGAGUGGGAGGUAAAAUCUAUCAUGUAAAAUGUUAUAUGUAAAAGCAAUUACCAAAAGCUAUUCUCACUUUUUCCUUGUUCUCCUAACCCCUGUAAGACAAUUUUCUGUCAACAGGCUCGAUGAUUGAUUUAAAUUGAUAAUGAUAUAUGAUUUUGUAGAUCAAUUUGUUUUCUAACAAUCUAUUUUUCUCUUUCUUUUCUUUCUUUUUUUUUCAUAUAUAUUUGCAGGCAUUCCAAUGAUCGGAUCAAUGUUACCACUUUUGCCUUAUCGUUGGAAAGAUCUGCGAUGAUGACAACCGAUACUCAUUACUGAUGGAGAGAGAGGAUGUUGAUGAUGAUGAAGAUAGCGAGUUAAUGUUGGACCCUUUUCCCCAUUUUCUCAUGGUCAUGACAAUUGUUGUCAAUCUUUACAUGAGAUUUUCGCAUGUAAAGAUAAAUAAAGAAAUGGAUAAAGAAUUAGGAUGAUGGUGAUGAUCCUGAACUCAUUUCCAAUGAAUAGUCUACAACAACAACAACAGAAUCAACAAUAACUCAAGGGAACAAUCAAUUGAUGAGGAUGAUGAUACAUCGCUACUCGUUUGAUGGUGAUGAAAAAACGAUGAACAUGAUGAUGGAACUGAAAGAUUUCAUUGAGAAAAGUGAAAAUAUGUAUCCAUGUAAAGGUUAUGAAGAAGAUGGAGAGAGAGAAAUCUUCUAGACGAUGGAAUCAAGAAGUCGGAUGAGGAUAAAAGUUACGAAAAGAGAUGAAGAUAAAGAUAAAUGUUUACCUAUUAUGUUUCAUACCAGGGAGAGUAUGUUGAGCUUACUGAUUUAAAACAAUGGGAAAUAUUAUUUACACAAUUGUUUCCAUCAUUCAUUUACCAUUUUGUUUUCUGUUACUUUGAUUGUUCAAUGAAUUUUACUCAUGGUUCGUGAUUUUUAGGUGUUUGGUCUGAGGGUUUUAUCAUGAUGGUGGUGAUUAUCGUUCUCUCAUACCUUGGCCUCACAUGGAAAACAAUUUACAAGAAAUUGCUACUGAUUCUCACAUAAACAUGACUUGAUCUUGAUGUGGAAAAGAGGAAAUGGAAAUCACAAACUAAAUCAUUCUCACUAAUCUUUUGGGUUUCCCUGUAAAAACAUGAGAUUUAACAUGUUAAGUCAAUGAACAUAUAGUGAAGAUAAUACAAUUUACUGUUUUGUUUAUCAUUCCAAGAGACAAUCAACCUUAAUGUUGGAUGAUACUAUCAUGAUGAUGGGACUUUAUUCAGGAUAACGUGACAUUUUUCAUCAUCUUAAUCUGAACAUUAUUCCAGAAUUUCAUAUUUCAUUUCAUUCCUUCAGCUGAGUCGGUGUAAUACAUUUACAUGGUUAUCCUGAGUUCGGUCAACCAUUGAUACAUGUAAUCAAAUGGUUACCUUACCUUGAAUUUUUUGCUUCCCAUUUCACAGGAAAUAAAUUCAGCUGAACAACAGCAACGAUUCAGUCAUGCAGCCUUUUCCUUCAUUCAGGUUAUUCAAAAAGAUUUUUUGUUUUUUUUUCUAUUCCAAAAUUUUGGAAAUGAUGAUGAUGAUGAUAUUCAUCAUGGGAAAUACCGUUACCUUUCAACGAAUUCAGUUUGCCUGAUGGUUUGUCAUUGAUGAUGAUGGUAAAUCGUAUUUCAAAUAGGAAGAGUGAAUCAGAACUUUUCUUAUAUAUGAUAAUUCAAUUGGAAUCUAAAAAUCAACAAUGCAAUCAAUAUAAUAAUUGGUCACAUUAAUCUCAAGAGAUUCAAGGAUUAUCAUCAUGAUCAUUAUCAUGAUUAUCACAUGAUGAUAACGACUGAUGAUUACAAUUGCUGAUCAAUUGAUUUUCCCUUUACCAUGGAUUCCAAGUACAUCAACAUUACCCUGAUUAAGAAGAUAAGUUGAAGAAACAAAAAACUUUCUCAUUAACAAUUAAUAAUAAUAAUAUCCAAAAGUUUCCAACAACUCUUGAAUUGAUUCAUAUUUAAAAUGCUACAAUCAGUCAUGUUUAAUUAGAUUGGGAGCAAUUAACUUUAAGAAUGAUUUAAAGUAAUUAUCAUUAUUUAUUAUUACCAGAAUAAGAUAAUCGUCCAUUGAUAAUCAGCUCAGCUAAUGUAAUGAUAACUAAACAAGCCAAUUAUCAUGAUUGAACUCAGGGUGGAUUAAGAUUAAUUUAUGAAUAUGAUUAUUAGAUUAUCAACAAUUAACUCUCAAGCUGAUUAAUUCAAUUAUCACCAAGCAAAUGCUCAAAAAUGAGAUGACAUGAGUUGAUAAUAAGGAUAAGGUUAAACUGUUGUUUCCAUAUCUGAUACAUUGUUAUUCAUCCCACCGGUGGGUGUUAAUACCAUUAACUGAUUAAUAUGGAGAGAGGAUUGAGUGAGAAGAAGUAUAAAAAAAAGUGAGAGAUAAUCAUGAUUAAAUCAUUAAUUCUCAUGUGAAUUAAUUGAAACUGUCAAUCAACGUGUUCUCAUGGUGUUGUUGGAUAGAUAAGUGAACAACAAAUUCAUUGAAUAUAAAUGGUUGACAUUAGUUAACAUGAGUUCUGAUCAGGGUAUUAAUACCCACCCCAGUGGAAAUCGGGAUAUCCUUUUACACUGAACUUUUCUCACCAGAAUCAAUCAAAUCGUUUUCAAAGAUUAACUCAAAAUUAAUCUCUGUAAUUAACUCAGAUUUACCGUUAUACUAUUUGAAACAAAGUAUACAUGAUAUGAAUCAUGAAAUUAUGAUUCUCAUGAAAAUAGUUUCUUUAUUAAUCUAACCCCUUGAACUGAAUCUGAACCAUGGGAAAUUUAUAUAUCCAAAUGAAUUAUGAACUUUUCCAACUAUUAGAAACUUUUUAUUUUUAAUCAUCAUUUUGAAAUCUUUUUUUUGUUCCUUAUUAUUUGCUAACAGUUUCUUAUAACAUUAAUAUUAACCUUUGAAUAACUCAUAGGGUAUUCAGUGGGUAUUCAUGAGCUGUGGAUAUUUUAAUAAGUAAUGAUUGAAGUUUAAAACAUUGUUCAGUUGAAGCUACUCAAAGUAACCAUUUAAAUUGUUAACUUUAAAUUACUUGCAACAAUUUAAAAGUCUCUGAAUUUGAAAGGUUCAACUUUUUACCUUGAUAGUAAAUCAUAUUUACGAUUAAUAAUUCAGCAGUUGAAUUUAAUCAAAGGUGAAUUAUUAGAUGAAAAUUGUUUCCUACACUCAAGAGAUGAAGAUGAAUUCAGUUAAUUGUUGAUUAUUUACUCAUUUUCUUGAUAAUCAUGAUGAUACGUUGAAACGUUUUAAUGAUAAUGUCCAUCAGAUUUUAUGAUGACCUUUGAAAUAACAGUUUAAGAGGUUAAAUGGUUUAUUAAUGGUUCUCUAUGGGAGUUUGGUUGAUGGUCAGUCUGAUGAAAGUUUAUUAAAUGAUGAUGAAGAUGAUAAAAUUGAAGAUGGAAUCGUUAUCAGAAUCAUAACCAUGAUCAUCUAUCAGUUUGUAUGAUUGAAAUUGAGGGAAAAUGUUUUCAAUGAAUUAAUUUAUCAAUGGAUUUGUAAUCAUUCAACUUUCAUUUAUCAUAAUCAACUUUUCUUUCAUUGUUUUAUUAUAACAAUUAAGUUGAACCAUUUCCGGAUUGACCUGAUUACAUGAUAAUGAAUAUAAAUUCAAGAGAUAACCUGAUGUUUAUAUCAUCGAGUUGAAAUGUUAUUCUUAACUGAUGCUAAAUAAGUAUUAUCAUCAAGUUGUAUUGUCGAUGCAAAAUCUUUUUCCUACUUUAUAUCCACAGGAAUUCAUGGGAUUCUGAGAGUAUGAAAAAAACCAGAUUCAAGGAGAUCAAUUGUUUAUCCCAUUUUCAGAUGGAAUCUGAACAAUCUGAUUCAUUUUGUUUUCGUUUUUUUUUCUCGUUCUCUUUUUUUCCUCCUCAUCUUCUUGAUACAAAUUAAAGGAUAAACAGAGAUGAUACCCUGAAGAUGAUCAUGAUGAUAUUGAAAGUAAGUAACUAUCUUUCCCUUUGUUAGUGUAUGAUGAUAGACAAGUAGCAAGAUAGAAACUGAAUCAUCAUGAAAAUUGAGAAAAAAAGGAAUGACGAAUACAAUUUAUUCUGUAAUACUGAGGAUACACAAACACAUAGAAUCUCAGUUGAGUCAAAUUCAUUGGAACUUUUUUCCUUCAUCUCAAAUUCUGGAUUCAAGAUCCUGAAAAUUCAAGAAGUUCGUUGAGUUUAAAUUUUUUUCCUCUUAAAAUCUUGAUAGUUUCAAGGAUUAUCUUGUUUCUUAUUACCCUCUUUAUCCAUGAUGAUGAUGAUGAUGAAUUUUAUCCUGGGAUUGGAAAUUGAAAUCAGAAUAAUAUCUAAUAUAAACCAGAACGAUUUUCUUUAUAAACUUGAUCAGUUUUUCAUUCAUCUAAUAUUCAUUUUCAUCAUGAAUUCAAAUCAAUUCCAAAUGAGCCAAUGAAUGUUGAUUCAUUUUCUGUUUAUGGUUAAAUCUUUCCAAUUGUUUUGAUUAAGUGAUCAACAAUUGAUUGGUAAACAAUCAAAGUUAAUGGUUGAUAUAAAAUCUGAUAAUUUGUUACCAUAAAUGAAUUGUAAUCACGGAAAUGAAAUUAAUCAACUCAAAACAAUCACAAGACUUUUUUUUAUCUUGUUAAUCAUAACCUACAAGAAGAGGAAAAAUCAAUAAUCAUCUAAUUGUUACCAAAAGUUGAUUAUCUUGAUGAUUAACUUUUAGAUUCGUGUUGAUUGUGAGCAAAAAAAAAGUUAAUAGUUAUCAUUACAGUUAUCAUAUAAUUUACAGUUACUCUGUUGAUGUAAUUAAUUGUUAACCAAGUGCAAGGAAAAAAACAUCAUAAAGCUAACUAAUCAUCAUAACAAGCUAUUGAUUAAUUCAAGUAAUCAAAUUGUUAACAAUAAAACAAAAAUUAGAGAUUAGUAUUGAUCAUAAUGAUAAUAUACUAAGGUAAUUGUUUGUAUCGUUGAUUAAAAAACCAUGAUGAUUCAGACUCUAUUCAUGAUCAUUCAUGAUGAAACAUUUUCCCACCUUGAAAGUCAUUAUCAUGUGUUGAUAUUACAUUGAUUUAUAUUGAACAAUAUAAAUACAAUCUUCAUGCAAUCUCACACACUCUCUCUCUCACCUUGAUGAUAAUCAUCAUGAUGAUAGUAAAUCUCACAUGCAUAUGGAGAGGAUGAAAAUUCAGAACUUGAAAGUUACUACAUGAUGGAAAUGUUACCAAAAGCCACAAUUGGAUACGCUAGAGAGGUUAUUCAGCAAUGUUUCAACUCUCAUGAUGUUGGAACUUUUUUUUUAUAUCUUUUCUAUUUAUUCCGAUAUCACCCAGGUUUUUUUUCUCUCACUCCAUGUUGUAGCAUCUUCUUUCAUGAUGUAACAUGGGGCUGAAAGAGGAUAUUAUCUGGGGAUAAAGGAAGCAAAGUGUGUGUGUAAAUUGUUACAGAAAAACAUGGAGGAAAAAAAAAACUUCACCAACCUUUGAAUUGAGACCAGAAACUAAUAACAAAAAGCAAGAAAAACUUUCUCUCUUGAAUGAACAGGUAAAUAGGAGAUGAAAGUUCUGAUAUUAUUCAGAUAGUGAUAAUCUAAUGGCAAUUGCGUGAAAAUCAACAUAAAAAAAGGUGAUAUUAUUAAUAAUUGAUACAUAAUAUUAAAAAUCGUACGAAUUGAAUUCUGACAGUGACAACGCCUUUAGUAUUAUUAUUAUUAUUCAUCAUGUUGAGUUUCAUUAUCAUGAAACUUUUACUCAAUUAACUAUUUCUUUCAUAAACUCUACCAGUUGUCUGAGUAAAUUGUAUUGAUAUAAUCAAAUGGAAAACUAACAAUUAUAUUCACAAUUUAUCUCACAAUUAAGAUUCUCUUUCGACAUUUGAAUAAGUUUUCCCUCUCUCUCACCGCAUCAAUCAUGAUGAUUAUUAUUAUCAUUCUCAUUUUAGAUAUUCUCUGAGAGAUUUUCAUUUACAUCAAGGUAAUCUGAAUCUCUAUUUCCAAUGAACAAGAACUUUUUUUUGUUCCUUUAAUGGUCAAGUUCAUAUUUAGUAUUCGAAGUUGAACAUUUUGAACCUUUUCUG